GGAGGANCCGAGCGUUAUCCGGAUUUAUUGGGUUUAAAGGGUGCGUAGGCGGAUUAGUAAGUCAGAGGUGAAAGCUCGAUGCUCAACAUNAAAAUUGCCUCUGAUACUGUUAGUCUAGAGUAUAGUUGCGGAAGGCGGAAUGUGUGGUGUAGCGGUGAAAUGCNUAGAUAUCACNCAGAACACCGAUUGCGAAGGCAGCUUUCCAAGCUAUAACUGACGCUGAUGCACGAAAGCGUGGGGANCNNACAGGAUUAGAUACCCUGGUAGUCCACGCNGUANACGAUGAUNACUCGNUGCANGCGAUACACAGUAAUGUGNCUCAGCGAANGCGUUNAGUUAUCCACCUGGGGAGU
rnacentral:rRNA from 1 species